CGUAAACUAUCCCCCAACUGCAGCUGCCUUUGAAUAGCCCCAUUUACACAGCUCUUCCACUUCAUCAAUGGCGUUACUUCGCUUACUAUGUUCUCCAUCCCUAUUUCCUUCUUCAUCAUCCACUUUGUUUCCCCUUCACCACCAUUCGACAACUCCCGUUUUACUAUCCCCUUCCUCCAUUUCUUGGCGAACUCCUUGUUUCUCCCCAUUAAUCCCCAUCAAACCCCAAAGACCUUACCUUUACAUAUCCAAUUGCUCUUCGUCCGCACAAGACCUAGAAGAACAGUUAGAAGAUGGAAGUUUGAAAAGAAGAGUGCUUGCACAGAAUGCUCCUUGGACCUAUUCAGCAAACGACCUUCGACCUCUAUUUGAGAAAUAUGGGACUGUGGAGGAUAUUGAGGUUGCAAUGUAUAACAAGACAAGAAGCAGGGGUUUAGUCUUUGUCACAAUGGGCUCACAUGAGGAAGCUAAGGCCGUUCUUGAAAAUCUUGAAGCGUAUGAACUUGAGGGUAGACCUUUGAGACUUGCAUGGGCUAAGCCAAAGACUGAGAAACCUUCUUCUCCGCCGCCAUCCAAGCCGCUGCCUAUACACAAUCUCUUUGUGGCUAAUUUGCAUUUCGAAGCAAGGUCUAACGACCUGCUGGAAUUCUUUAAGGCUAAUGGUGCAAAUGUUGUUUCUGCUGAAGUCAUAUUCAAUGAUAAUCCCAGACGAUCAGCAGGAUAUGGAUUUGUUUCACUUAAUACCAAGGAGGAAGCUGAUGCAGCAUUAUCCUCCUUUGACGGAAAGGAAUUUAUGGGAAGAGCUAUAAGGGUGGCACAGAGUAAAAGGUUUCUCAGAGAAGAGACAAAAAAAGUUAUCAAGUCCCAAGAACUACCAUCUGAAUUGAUCUCUGUGGCAGAAUGAGCUAAUGCUGCUGAAUUUUGAAAGUUAUUCCUCUGAGGAAGGGAUGGGCAUGCAGUCGUUACAUCCUUCUUCCAACCAAAUAAUCCAGAAUAUACAUAGAGGGAUGGUUAUUCUCAAAAACAAAAAAGAGAUACAUAGAGGGAUGGUCCUCCAGAUCUGCUUCAAUGCUCUAGGAAUUCUCUGAUGUUGCCAGCAUUCAAUCAAAUCUCUUACCUUGAGUGGCAUUACCCAAUAGAUUCCACACAUACUUAGGAACAAAUCCUAGCAUUGUCUAGUUAGUUUGCAGAGUAUGAGGAGGUGAUCUACUGUUUCUUGGUCAUUCUGCCAUUAAUAUCAUCUAUUACACAAUAGGAAUCCUCUUUUCUGCAAUUUGUUUUGUGUUAAGCAGGCCCCGAAGAGGCAACCUACCCAAACCAUUCUGCCUUGACAGGUGCCCUAGUCUUCCUAAUCGGUUUCCAAGGCCAGUUAUCAUCCCAUCGAUCAGCUUGCUUCAUUAGCAAAGUGCAAACUAUAGCAGUUGCUGAAAGAGAAACUAUUGUCUUUACUUGCUGCCUAACUUAUCACUCUCUUCCAACCAAGGGCUGUCAAUAGAGAAAUGAAAACUUCAUAGUUUUGGUAGUGGAAGCUGUUGCUAGCAAUAGGAGAAGGGCUGUUUUGUAGAUUUGUCUUGACCAUGUAUCAAAUUGCAUGAUUAUUCCUUUUAGGAGUAUGUUGCUAAGAAGAAGAAAGUUGUUUUAAAGGCAAGUGAACAUCUUAAGUGUAUGAACGGUACAUUUCUAUAGAAAUCACCUACAACCAACCUGUUUGGUGCACAUUACUUUUCUCAUUUGGCCUUUUCUACCCAUCUUGAAUCAGCUUUGGUUUCUGCCAUUACACGU